AGCCAACCUUCCUUAUUUUAAAGUUCCAUUUUUUUCCCCAAUUUCAGACCUCACAUGGAGAGAUUAUACAAGCUGUAUGUGUGGAUCAUUUGUAUUUGUUAAGGCAGUCCAACUAGAAUGACUGAAUUUUGCUGCUAUUGUCUUAAAGUGGACGAACUUGGACAAGGCUGAAAGAGCAGACUGGUUACCUGGCUGAGAAGACAGGAAAGACAGAAACUAAUAAGGAGAAAAGAAGGCAGAGAAAUCCACAUAAUCAGACAUGUGAAAUGAAGACAUUUCAAGUAAGACUGAAACAGUUUUUAAAAUGAAGUUUGUUUGAUUUCUUCUUUUUUCCCCUU
rnacentral:lncRNA from 1 species